rnacentral:rRNA from 1 species
CAAUAGCGUAUAUUAAUGUUGUUGCAGUUAAAAAGCUCGUAGUUGGAUUUGUGGUUGGGAGGGUCGGCCCGAUGCACGACGCAUGUGUUCAUGUGUUAAUGUGUGUAGGUGCUUGACUGUCUCCUGUCCAUCUUUGGUUGGAACCUUUGUGGCAUUAAGUUGUUGUGGAGGGGAGGGCCAUCAUUUACUGUGAAAAAAUCAGAGUGUUCAAAGCAGGCUUAUGCCGUUGAAUAUAUUAGCAUGGAAUAAUGAGAUAGGAUCUUGGUACAAUUUUGUUGGUUUGCGCAUCUAGAUAAUGAUUAAUAGGGACAGUUGGGGGUAUUCGUAUUCCAUUGUCAGAGGUGAAAUUCUUGGAUUUCUGGAAGACGAACUACUGCGAAAGCAUUUACCAAGGAUGUUUUCAUUAA